AGUGAACGCUGGCGGUAGGCCUAACACAUGCAAGUCGAACGGCAGCACAGGAGAGCUUGCUCUCUGGGUGGCGAGUGGCGGACGGGUGAGGAAUACAUCGGAAUCUACUCUGUCGUGGGGGAUAACGUAGGGAAACUUACGCUAAUACCGCAUACGACCUACGGGUGAAAGCAGGGGAUCUUCGGACCUUGCGCGAAUGAAUGAGCCGAUGUCGGAUUAGAUAGUUGGCGGGGUAAAGGCCCACCAAGGCGACGAUCCGUAGCAGGUCUGAGAGGAUGAUCAGCCACACUGGAACUGAGACACGGUCCAGACUCCUACGGGAGGCAGCAGUGGGGAAUAUUGGACAAUGGGCGCAAGCCUGAUCCAGCCAUACCGCGUGGGUGAAGAAGGCCUUCGGGUUGUAAAACCCUUUUGUUGGGAAAGAAAUCCAGCUGGCUAAUACCCGGUUGGGAUGACGGUACCCAAAGAAUAAGCACCGGCUAACUUCGUGCCAGCCGCCGCCGUAA
rnacentral:rRNA from 1 species